CUUUAUGAUAAUAAUAGUAAUAACAACAACAAAACCGUCUGCAUUUGUGUUCCUGUGGCAGGCCGGACGCCCCUGUUGCCGAAUUACCCUGCUGUUGCAAAAGAUACUCAGGAGUCCCAGCGACAAAGAGCCAAAUUUUGGAGCAAAGAAGAGAUUGGCCUUUUUGUCGACCUCUGGAUUAGCCCGGAAGUCCAGAACGAACUCCAGAACACUUAUCACAACGAGGUGGUUUUCAACUGGCUCUCCAACGAAAUGGGCUUGCGGGGUUUCAACCGCUCUGCUCGCCAGUGCCGCGAGAAGAUGAACGCCCUGAAGAAGAAGUUUAAAGAGGUCACCACUCACAACAAAUGCCCCGGUGCUGGCGAAGUGCGAACCAUGCCGUUCUACGAUAAGCUAGCCACCAUCCUCCUCAGCCGGAGGGAUGCCAAGCACUCUUCGAACAGCGGCGAGAAGAGCCAGUGGUCUAGGCAAGCUUCCUCGCCAGCUCCGGGAACAUCCGGGCAGGCGUCUUUACUUGGGAGGCCCUCUUUAAUUAGUCCGCCGGGGCUGAGGUCCUCUGGGACAGCCAGCCAAAGCAAAUCCCACCUGCAGCAGCCGCCUCAAAAGCAACCUCGCCUUCUCCAGGCUGGGACGGUGUCUCCCACUCACUGCCACCGGCCUCUUUUGCAACCCAACCGGAGCCUGUCUAUGCAAAAGCACCGGGGACAUUCCUCUCCUUGGCCUACCACCAACCAACUGGCCGUGGUCACUCCAAAAAUCGAGGAACAGUCGCCGGAGGGAGAAGACCCGCCCAACUCGAUGUGCUCCGUGCUCCAAGGAAGCCACCUCCCCAUGGAGGUGCGGGUGAUCGACGAGAACGGCAUCACCGUCACCUCGUCCAUGUGCGAGGAGGUCAAGCAGGAGCAGGACGAGGACAACACAGCGCACGAUCCCGAGUUAGAGUUCGAUGCCAAGUUUGAAAGAGAAAUUGUGGAUGAUAGUGACCCCCCCGAGGCCACUGGCACCCGCCUUGACCCCGAUGUGCUUUCGGAGUAUUCGGAAGAACCGUAUGAUGAGACUGAAGGGGUCGAUGACUUGCCUGUGGAUUUGCUACAAUGUUUUGGAGACCGGUUCUCCUCCUUUGGCGGCGUGGAAGAGAGCAACCAUGAGCAGGAAAGACCGAAACACGAACACCCAUUAUCCAGGGCUUUAUCUACAGCUGAAAGUCUCAUUCAGGAGCAGGAGGGGGAAGUUCUCGAGAACUCCGACAUCAUCUGUGCUCCUUUGGGCAACCUUGGACGGAAGGACCUGAACGCCAGCUUUGAGGGUGUCGUAGGGCCGCCAAUCGACCGCGUUCCGCCCACUAGAGGCCUGGGGGACGACCCUCCGCUGACCAGCGCGCAGAGAACCGCCCGGUUCAGGAACAAGAGAAAAAUUGAGAGAGUCCAGCUGGCGAAAGAGCUAAUUAACGCCACCCGAGAAACCGGGGAGAACAUCCGCGAGGCUCUUUACGAGCUCGACAGCAAGGAGUCGCAAAGGCGGGUUGACGACCGCAAGGUUGCCGUGUGGUGCGCCAAGCACAUCGCAAAAAGCAUCCGAGUCUCGAGCCAAACCAUGGCCGCCGCCAUGCGUGAUUCGGACGCCGCCUUCCAGAGGUGCAUGGAGAGCUACACGGUGGCCCUGGAGAGGCAGACGACUCUGUUGGAGAACAUUGCCGAUUCGCUAAAUGCCCGCGUCUCGGCUCCCCAGCCUUCCCUCCCCACUUCCACUCCCGCCCACGGGACACGCGAGACCUCCGUGUGCGCGAGUCCCAUACCAGCACCUUCGCCCCCUAUCCCCAUGGAGUCGGAGAAGACUCCGCCCUCGUUGAGAAACCAGCCCGGAAACGAGGAAGAGUCUCCUGGGGGGGCAGACUCCAAUAGCAGUAGCCGAUAAUAGUCCGAAGCGCCCUUCCCCAAUUUGGUGCUCCCUCUCCACGGUGUUGGGACCACAACUCCCAAAAUUCUCUGCCGGAGGGCACCACGCUGAAGAAGGUUGCUCUUCACAGAACACUUGAGUUGCUGCAUUGUUCCUCUUGUCAACACAACAGAUCACCAGGCCUUCUCGAACGUUGACAAGGUUACCUCAGUACUUCCAUUUACUCCUAUACAAUCGUUCUUCUGUUACGUUACUUGAGAGAAAGGAAAAAAAACGGUGCUAUUUUCUGCACCUUAUUCUUGUUUACAAAGCUCUGUUAAACCUGCUUUUUUUUUUCUAGCACUGUAUACAAGGCCCAAUAUUUACUAGACGGCACAGCCAGCUUAUGCCAUAAUAAAUUUGUUAGUUUUUAAGAUGCCA
rnacentral:lncRNA from 1 species